ACGCACGCUGGCGGCGUGCUUCACACAUGCAAGUCGAACGGAAAGGCCCUGCUUUUGUGGGGUGCUCGAGUGGCGAACGGGUGAGUAACACGUGAGUAACCUGCCCUUGACUUUGGGAUAACUUCAGGAAACUGGGGCUAAUACCGGAUAGGAGCUCCUGCUGCAUGGUGGGGGUUGGAAAGUUUCGGCGGUUGGGGAUGGACUCGCGGCUUAUCAGCUUGUUGGUGGGGUAGUGGCUUACCAAGGCUUUGACGGGUAGCCGGCCUGAGAGGGUGACCGGCCACAUUGGGACUGAGAUACGGCCCAGACUCCUACGGGAGGCAGCAGUGGGGAAUAUUGCACAAUGGGCGGAAGCCUGAAGCAGCAACGCCGCGUGCGGGAUGACGGCCUUCGGGUUGUAAACCGCUUUCGCCUGUGACGAAGCGUGAGUGACGGUAAUGGGUAAAGAAGCACCGGCUAACUACGUG
rnacentral:rRNA from 1 species